GACGAACGCUGGCGGCGUGCUUAACACAUGCAAGUCGAACGGAAAGGCCCUGCUUUUGUGGGGUGCUCGAUUGGCGAACGCGUGAGUAACACGUGAGUAACCUCUCCUUGACUUUCGGAUAACUUCAGGAAACUGGGGCUAAUACCGCAUAGGAGCUCCUGCUGCAUGGUGGUGGUUGGAAAGUUUCGGCGGUUGUGUAUGGACUCGCGGCUUAUCAGCUUGUUGGUGGGGUAGUGGCUUACCAAGGCUUUGACGGGUAGCAGGCCUGAGCGGGUGACAGGCGACACUGGGACUGAGAUACGGCCCAGACUCGUACGGGAGGGAGCAGGGGGGAAUCUUGCACAAGGGGCGGGAGCCUGAUGAAGCAACGCUGCGUGCGGGAAGACGGCCUUAGGGUUGUAAACCGCUUUUGUAUGUGACGAAGCGUGAGUGAAGGUAAUGGGUAAAGAAGCACCGGCUAACUACGUG
rnacentral:rRNA from 1 species